UAAGGUCUAACCUGCCCAAUGAGGAUUUAAAUGGCCGCAGUAUUUUGACUGUGCAAAGGUAGCAUAAUUAUUAGUUUUUUAAUUGAAAGCUUGUAUGAAGGGUUGGACGAGAUAAAAUCUGUCUUUAUUUAAUUGAUUAUAGAAUUUAACUUUUAAGUCAAAAGGCUUAAAUAUUUAUAAAAGACGAGAAGACCCUAUAGAUCUUUAUUUAAUUAUUAUUUUAAUAAUUUAAGAUUAUUUUAGUUUAAAAUUUUAAUUAAAUUUUAUUGGGGUAAUAUAAAGAUUAAAUUAAUUCUUUUUAUUAAUUACAUUGAUUUAUGAAUAUAUGAUCCAUUUUUAGUGAUUAUAAGAUUAAGUUACCUUAGGGAUAACAGCGUAAUUUUUUUGGAGAGCUCAUAUCGAUAAAAAAGUUUGCGACCUCGAUGUUGGAUUAAAAAUUAGCUUGGGUGCAGAAGCUCAAGAAUUUGGUCUGUUCGACCAUUAAAUUUUUACAUGAUCUGAGUUCAGACCGGCGUGAGCCAGGUCGGUUUCUAUCUUUAUUUAAAGCAAAUAUUUUAGUACGAAAGGACCAAAUAUUUAAUAUAUUUAUAUUUUGAGUUUGAAUAAUAUUAUUACUUUGGCAGAAUAGUGCAAUGAAUUUAGAAUUCAUGAAUGUAAUUAUAUUACAAGUAAUACUUGUAUUUAGGAGAUUUAUUGUUAAUAGUUUUAUGUAUAUUAAUUUUAGUUAUUUGUGUUUUAGUGGGGGUAGCUUUUUUAACAUUGCUAGAGCGUAAGGUUUUAGGGUAUAUUCAGAUCCGCAAGGGUCCAAAUAAGGUAGGAUUUAU
rnacentral:rRNA from 1 species